GACGAACGCUGGCGGCGUGCUUAACACAUGCAAGUCGAACGGAAAGGCCCUGCUUUUGUGGGGUGCUCGAGUGGCGAACGGGUGAGUAACACGUGAGUAACCUGCCCUUGACUUUGGGAUAUCUUCAGGAAACUGGGGCUAAUACCGGAUAGGAGCUCCUGCUGCAUGGUGGUGGAUGGAAAGUUUCGGCGGUUGGGGAUGGACUCGCGGCUUAUCAGCUUGUUGGUGGGGUAGUGGCUUACCAAGGCUUUGACGGGUAGCCGGCCUGAGAGGGUGGCCGGCCACAUUGGGACUGAGGGAGGGCCCAGACUCCUACGGUAGGCAGCAGUGGGGAAUAUUGCACAAUGGGCGGAAGCCUGAUGCAGCAACGCCGCGUGCGGGAUGACGGCCUUCGGGUUGUAAACCGCUUUCGCCUGUGACGAAGCGUGAGUGACGGUAAUGGGUAAAGAAGCACCGGCUAACUACGUG
rnacentral:rRNA from 1 species